GAUGAACGCUAGCUACAGGCUUAACACAUGCAAGUCGAGGGGUAACGAGAGGAAAGCUUGCUUUCCUUGUCGACGACCGGCGCACGGGUGAGUAACGCGUAUCCAACCUGCCCCCAACUAGGGAAUAACCUUGCGAAAGUAAGACUAAUACCCUAUAAUUUCCUCAGAUGACAUCUGACGAGGAAUAAAGAUUUAUCGGUUGUGGAUGGGGAUGCGUCUGAUUAGCUUGUUGGCGGGGUAACGGCCCACCAAGGCAACGAUCAGUAGGGGUUUUUGGAGGAAGGUCCCCCACAUGGGAACUAGGACACGGUCCAAACUCCUACGGGAGGCAGCAGUGAGGAAUAUUGGUCAAUGGGCGGAAGCCUGAACCAGCCAAGUAGCGUGCAGGAUGACGGCCCUAUGGGUUGUAAACUGCUUUUAUACAGGAAUAAAGUUAGCCACGUGUGGUUAUUUGUAGGUACUGUAUGAAUAAGGACCGGCUAAUUCCGUGCCAGCAGCCGCCGUAA
rnacentral:rRNA from 1 species